GAAGAAAUCAGGCGCAAAUUUCACAUCCAGGUUACAUAACUGAAAAACAGAUCAGCGCUUUGAUUUCCAAAUGCUCAGGUUUGGAGAAGAGGACGUCACGUCUACAGAGUGAGGCUAAUAGCACCACCGCAAGCAACUAAAGCUCAUCAACAUUGAAUUCAAAUUCAAGUUGGAUGAGAUUGAGCUGACUGUCCUUUACUACGCUUCCAAGAGAGAUAAUCGUUACAAGGCGACAGAUUUCCCAUUUGACUCACGAACUGGACAAAACUUGCCAACUGAAAGAUCAGCUUACCCGUGAAAACAAGAAAUUGGGCGAUGAGAACGCUGAGCUUAAGAGCCAGUACUCUGAACUCAACUGCAGAUUUCAUGAGUUAGAAAUUGAAUAUCGCCGUCUAGAAAAUGAACGUGAAGAGUUGGCAUACAAAGAAAUUCAGAGGCUGCUCGUAAAGGUGAAGAAUAUCGCGUUCCACUCAUGGAAUUGCAGCUGAGAUGAACGAAUUCAUCUCGAUAUGGAACACUUCACGAUAAGGAGGAAGAGCUCGAGUCUAUCAAGAAGCAAAUGUCUAUAUCUAAAUCAACCAGUUGAACUCUCGUCUUGUCCAUGCGGAAACCAAGUUGAAAACCGAAAUUCAGCGCAUCCGGAAGAAGAUGAUGAUCACAAUCACCGAGUUGGAAAUGAUAUUCGACGUUGCAAACAAAAACAACAUAUCGAGCAAUCCCUGCAAAUUGUCUUAAAUUUUUAGGCAACUAUCUAAUUAUCUGGUUUUUUGCAUAUUAUCAGUUUCUACUCUUGAUAUGUUGUAUUGAAAUUUGGCAAAGUUUUCAUUUUGUAUAACGUAAAGGAAAACAAUAAAUAUCUUGAGAUUUAUUUUUAUCAAA